GAUCCUGGCUCAGGAUGAACGCUGGCGGCGUGCUUAACACAUGCAAGUCGAACGGGGUACCCUUGACGGAGGCUUCGGCCAACAGAGAGGACUACCUAGUGGCGGACGGGUGAGUAACGCGUGAGGAACCUGCCUUGGAGUGGGGAAUAACAGCCCGAAAGGGUUGCUAAUACCGCAUAAUGCAAUAUGAUCGCAUGAUUGAAUUGCCAAAGAUUUAUCGCUCUGAGAUGGCCUCGCG
rnacentral:rRNA from 1 species